GGGGAAUAUUGCGCAAUGGGGGAAACCCUGACGCAGCAACGCCGCGUGCGGGAUGAAGGCCUUCGGGUUGUAAACCGCUUUCAGCAGGGACGAAGGGUUUCUGACGGUACCUGCAGAAGAAGCACCGGCUAACUACGUGCCAGCAGCCGCGGUGAUACGUAGGGUGCGAGCGUUGUCCGGAAUUAUUGGGCGUAAAGAGCUUGUAGGCGGUCCGUCACGUCGGAAGUGAAAACUCAGGGCUUAACCCUGAGCCUGCUUUCGAUACGGGCAGACUUGAGGGAUGUAGGGGAGAACGGAAUUCCUGGUGGAGCGGUGGAAUGCGCAGAUAUCAGGAGGAACACCAGUGGCGAAGGCGGUUCUCUGGACAUUUCCUGACGCUGAGAAGCGAAAGCGUGGGGAGCAAACA
rnacentral:rRNA from 1 species